UGAGGAAUAUUGGUCAAUGGGCGGGAGCCUGAACCAGCCAAGCCGCGUGAGGGAUGAAGGCCCUAUGGGUCGUAAACCUCUUUUGUCAGGGAACAAAAGCGAGUAUGUAUACUAGUCUGAGUGUACCUGAAGAAAAAGCAUCGGCUAACUCCGUGCCAGCAGCCGCGGUAAUACGGAGGAUGCAAGCGUUAUCCGGAUUUAUUGGGUUUAAAGGGUGCGUAGGCGGCGAUGCAAGUCAGCGGUAAAAGCCCGGGGCUCAACCCCGGCGAGCCGUUGAAACUGCAGUGCUAGAGAAGGCGAGAGGUACGCGGAAUGCGCAGUGUAGCGGUGAAAUGCUUAGAUAUUGCGCAGAACUCCGAUUGCGAAGGCAGCGUACUGGCGCCUGACUGACGCUGAGGCACGAAAGCGUGGGGAUCGAACAGGAUUAGAUACC
rnacentral:rRNA from 1 species